UACAGAGGGUGCGAGCGUUAAUCGGAAUUACUGGGCGUAAAGGGCUCGUAGGUGGCCAACUAAGUCAGACGUGAAAUCCCCAGGCUCAACUUGGGAACUGCGUCUGAUACUGGAUGGCUUGAAUUCGGGAGAGGGAUGCAGAAUUCCAGGUGUAGCGGUGAAAUGCGUAGAUAUCUGGAGGAAUACCGGUGGCGAAGGCGGCAUCCUGGACCGAGAUUGACACUGAUGAGCGAAAGCUAGGGGAGCAAACGGG
rnacentral:rRNA from 1 species